UUCGAAACCGACAACCACAUCAUCACCAAGGUGUGGAAAUGACCGUCUCCAUGGAUGCAAAUGACCUUGAUCUGCAGCUGCACUACUGCUGCUUCCUUCGCCUCUUUGCUCGUGCAAUUUAGCGGAGUUUGGGGAUCACACUGGAAUGAGCCUUGAAACUAUGUGAAACAGGAUGUAGUCUCUAAUUGCCAGGGGGCCUUUCUCUGGUCAUUCUCUCCUCCUUGAUUCAACCAAUCUGCAGUUGUCAACAUAAAUACAUUGAUAGGGACCUUUUAUUUGUCAUUCUCUCUAGCUUCAGAGUCAACAGUCAAUAGAGUGUGAUUUAUGCAAUCUCAUCUGUUUACCAAAUACCAUUAAUAAUAGCUAUAAUGUAAACAGAACCCAUUCCUGAUGGAAAUAUUUUGAUAUGUUAUAUGAAAAUGACAGCUAAAUUGCA